GACAAAAAUUAAAACUCCUUUUUUACCCCUGUAUGUUGUGCUCGAAAAACAAAAUCCAUCCAUAUGUCCCAAAAUGGAGUAAGCGUUUCUCACCACAGUUGACGCAGAGUGCGUUACAGCCCCUAACCAUGCGUCCGGCCGGCGACCAUCAUCCAUUACUCGACGAAUCAAUAUUCCAAUCGCCCGUCAUCACACCUUCCAGUCGUUGAUUCACUAUCCCCCUGCUGAAAUCGUCCCUUCAAAUGCUCCCACAAUGCUUUAUAAAUAUAAACACCCCCCCCCCCCCAACCAAAUACUUCUACAUGAAUUGAUAUUAACACUGAAUGGUUUGACAAUCCAACGACCGCUCAUCCGAUUUUCCAACCAACGUUUUAGAUUUCUUCUUCCCGAAUACGGGUUCCCCUGGAAGAAACAACAGCCGAGGAUUUCUAAGCUCCUAAUUUCAUCUCUCAGCAUUUCUGUGGUGAUCAAAUCCAUGUUUUUGAGGUGUAUUGGAGCCAAGUCCCUGUUUUGCAGGGAGAACCUACUUGGUGAAGCUACAUUGCUUUUUCUUUUACUUAUUUGAUGUCAUCCACUCCUCUUGAAUUUUUUUCCCCACUUAUGAGCAACCUUUAAGUCCUUCAAGAAAUAUUUUUGUCAAUGGUAACAGUUAUCGACUACAAGAUCGUCAUCAUUAUUGGCACUAAUGACUUUGUGCAGGAAUUUUCUAAAUCUAAGAUCAGCUCUACACAAGCUUGUAUUUGACAUUUUAUAUUGUGAAAUGUCAUGCAACUCUACUUUCAUAGCUGCAGCAUACUUGAAGAGAAAAUAGAGACCAGAAAAGAAAAGUCAUAACACAGUUCAUUUCAUUCCAGUUUUCUACCUGAAGUUGAAGACCAUAUGGUUCAUUACAUACACCACCAUAACAAUGUCGUAAUCAAAAUGCUUUUUUUUUUUUUUUUGGUUUUUUGUGAGCAUCAAACAGUUAAGCUGGACAUAGUCACUAAAAAUGAAUCCCACAAAAUGAAUCUUUAGUAUUUUUUUUUUUUUUUUUUCCCCAUGUUAGUGGAGAGGUAGUUGUUUGUAAAUAUAGAAGAGUGAUGCCGUGAUGCAUGUUGAUCUUGUGAAUCAACUAAGUGUGUAUACACACAUAGAUAUAUAUAUAUAUAUAUAUAUAAUCUUAUUUUAGCAA